UUGCUCAAGGCUAGCGCUCUACCACUUGAGCCGCAGAGCCCCUUCCAGCUUUUUCUGUGUAUGUGGUGCUGAGGAAUCAAAUCCAGGGCUUCAUGCAUGCUAGGCAAGCACUCUACCAUGAAGCAACAUUCCCAGCUCAUGAAAGUAAAGUUUUG